rnacentral:rRNA from 1 species
UUUUAUGGAGAGUUUGAUCCUGGCUCAGGAUGAACGCUGGCGGCGUGCCUAAUACAUGCAAGUCGAGCGAACGGACGAGAAGCUUGCUUCUCUGAUGUUAGCGGCGGACGGGUGAGUAACACGUGGAUAACCUACCUAUAAGACUGGGAUAACUUCGGGAAACCGGAGCUAAUACCGGAUAAUAUUUUGAACCGCAUGGUUCAAAAGUGAAAGACGGUCUUGCUGUCACUUAUAGAUGGAUCCGCGCUGCAUUAGCUAGUUGGUAAGGUAACGGCUUACCAAGGCAACGAUGCAUAGCCGACCUGAGAGGGUGAUCGGCCACACUGGAACUGAGACACGGUC